GUCCAGGGAUGGGAUUCGAACCCAUAGUGUUCGCUUACCGGGCAGAUGCCAUGUCUACAGGCUACCCUGGA
rnacentral:tRNA from 1 species